rnacentral:rRNA from 1 species
GAAGAGAGAGUUCAAGAGUACGUGAAACCGCAUAGAGUCAAACUGGUGGAUCCGCAGAGUCCGCGCGGGGAAUUCAGCUCGGCAGGCGGGGCCGCGCGCCGGCCGAGAUUCGUCUCGGACCUGGCUGGCGCGCUGCGUACUCGCAGGCAGGGUGCACUUUCCCCGGCUAGCGGAAGGCCACGACCGGUUCGGUGGCGGUCAGGAGCCCGGAGCGGGAGGUAGCCGUGAUCGGUUCACGCCGAUUGCGGAACGUACAGCCCUCCGAGGUGGACUCGCCGCUGGACCGAGGAUGCCGCGGUGGCCUCACGCCGCGGGCCGUCCGGGAGCGUUCGACUUUGGCCACGCUGCUCGCAGCCGGCCGAGACCGCGCUUCUGGUACGGGCUCGCGAACGGGGGCCGCCUAGGGUCAGUGGCGAAUCGGUCGGCAACCCACCAGACCCGUCUUGAAACACGGACCAAGGAGUCUAGCAUGUGCGCGAGUCACGGGGUCUCUCGAAACCCAAGGGCGCAAUGAAAGUGAAGGCCGCCUCCGGCUGGCCCAGGCAAGAUCCCGAGACGUUCGCGUCGAGGGCGCACUGCCGGCCCGUCUCGCUGGCAUCGACCACGAGGCGGAGCAAGAGCGCACACGCUGGGACCCGAAAGAUGGUGAACUAUGCCUGAGUAGGACGAAGUCA